rnacentral:rRNA from 1 species
CCCUUAGACGUUCUGGGCCGCACGCGCGCUACACUGACGGAGCCAGCGAGUAUAAACCUUGGCCGAGAGGUCUGGGAAAUCUUGUGAAACUCCGUCGUGCUGGGGAUAGAGCAUUGUAAUUAUUGCUCUUCAACGAGGAAUUCCUAGUAAGCGCAAGUCAUCAGCUUGCGUUGAUUACGUCCCUGCCCUUUGUACACACCGCCCGUCGCUACUACCGAUUGAAUGGCUUAGUGAGGCUUCCGGAUUGGUUUAGAGAAGGGGGCAACUUCAUCUUGGAACCGAGAAGCUAGUCAAACUUGGUCAUUUAGAGGAAGUAAAAGUCGUAACA